rnacentral:lncRNA from 1 species
GUGUCGGGAGAAGUCAGCCAUCAAAGAAGGUCAUUAUUUUUGGAUAGCCCAAUCAAAAUUUUAGAGCAUCAGUGGAGUCAGGUGUGGAAUCUUUUGCUUUUACUAGUCUAGAAUAGAAGAUGACAGAACAAAGAUUUGUGCCACAGCCAAUAGGAAGUAGGGUGACAAGAGGAAGGGAGAAUCAGGGCAGCUCUAAUAGGG